rnacentral:tRNA from 1 species
GGGCGCUUAGCUCAGUGGCAGAGCACACCCUCUACAUGGGUGAGGUCCCAGGUCCGAUCCCUGGAGCGCCCACCA